rnacentral:rRNA from 1 species
GACGAACGCUGGCGGCGUGCCUAAUACAUGCAAGUAGAACGCAGUUGCGAACGGGAGAGUAACGCGUCGGUCAAUGCCUGGGAGUGAGGGAUAAAAAUUGGAGACGAUACCUAAUACCGCCUACUACCAGAUGGACCUGCGUUGUAUUGGGUAGUUGGAGAGGUAACGGCUCACCAGGGCAACGAUACAUAGCCGACCGGAGAGGGGGAUUGGCCAGACUGGGACUGAAACACGGCCCAGACUCCUACGGGAGGCAGCAGUAGGGAAUCUUCGGCAAUGGGGGGAAACCUGACCGAGCAACGCCGCGUUAGUGAAGAAGGUUUUCGGAUCGGAAAGCUCUUUUGUUAAGGGAGCGGUACUUAACCAGAAAGGGACGGCUAACUACGUGCCAGCCGCGGCGGUAAUUC